AACUUUGAAAAGUGUCUAAAACG
rnacentral:snRNA from 1 species